CCCGGCCUCCGAGGCCCCUCCGUCCCCAGCCCAUCGGGGAGGGGCUGGCGGUGCUGCCCGGCGGUGGAGGAGCCAUCGGGCCUUUCCGGGGGCCUUCGCUCAGGAUGCAGGCGGAGGCUGCGGCGGUUUGCUCGGCCCGCUGAGAAAUGAGUCAAGGUCAUGACAAAGUUCAGAAGAUCACCCUGUGAAAGAGUGAAGUGCUGGACGUAGCUAUAUAAAGCAUGGAAGAAUACAAAGUGUUGAAGGUCCUGGGAGAAGGAUCCUUUGGCAGAGCUCUCCUAGUUCAUCACAGAAUCAGUGACCAGAAGUAUGCAAUGAAGGAAAUAAGACUUCCUAUGUCUUCAUCUGAUAUAGAGAACUCUAGAAAGGAAGCAGUUCUGUUGGCUAAAAUGAAACAUCCAAAUAUUGUUGCCUAUAAGGACUCAUUUGAAGCUGAUGGACAUCUCUAUAUAGUGAUGGAAUAUUGUGAUGAUGGAGAUUUAAUGCAAAAGAUUAAACACCAAAGAGGAAAGUUGUUCCCUGAAGAUACGAUCCUUCACUGGUUUGUGCAGAUGUGCCUGGCUGUGAAGCACAUUCAUGAUAAGCGUGUGUUGCACAGGGAUAUCAAAUCCAAGAAUGUCUUCCUCACUCAAAAUGGAAAAGUCAAAUUGGGAGAUUUUGGAUCUGCGCACCUUCUUGCACAUCCAGUGUCAUAUGCUUGCACAUAUGUGGGAACUCCUUAUUACGUACCUCCAGAAAUAUGGGAAAGCAUGCCAUACAACAACAAAAGGUUAAAUUGUAAUUUUUGGCUCAAAAUUUCUCAUCUUUCUGUACCAUACAGUGAUAUAUGGUCUCUGGGAUGCAUUCUGUACGAGCUGUGCACUCUUAGACAUCCAUUUCAAGCCAAUAGCUGGAAGCAUCUCAUCCUUAAGAUAUGCAAAGGGUCCUACAAUCCACUACCAUCUCACUAUUCCUAUGAACUUCAUUACUUAAUAAAACAGAUGUUUAAGAGAAAUCCCAAGAAUCGUCCAUCAGCCAGUACUAUUCUUGCAAGAGGUUGCUUAACCAAACUUAUCAAAAAUUGUUUGCCUUCUGAGAUGACAGCUGAGUUUGAGCAGGUUUUAAAGGAAACCAAGAAGCGUGAAGGCAAUGCAGCAAGACCAAAGGGUAAUGCCAUGGCUGGUGGAAGUUCAAAUAGUAAGAAAGAAAAUAGGCAAAGUAAGGAAGAAAGUGGCAAGCAUAGCCCCUUAGAAAGGAAAAAUAUUACUAAGGAUUUGAGUGAAAGUACAAAGGAGCAAAGAGAAUCUGGUGACAAGGGAACUACUGAUUUGUCACAUCCCCACAGGAAGCAAUGGGAAAAGAGGAUAUCCAGUACUGUGGUGGAUGUCCUGGAAAAUGCAUCCUUGCUUUCUUCCAGCUUUACAUCUGAAGAGACUAAAAGUGGCUGUGUUAUAAACUACAGUGAAAAUAAGCCACGUAAGCAGUGGAACAAGGAAACUCCUCAGACGCUGAUGAACAUUCUCAGUAACGCAGAUGUCAGCUUAGCGUUUAAAACAUACACAAUUUAUAAACCAGGUAAAUCCCCAGUUUGUGAGCAAACAUUUUUGCAAACAGUUUUAUUAAUAGAAACAUUUUGUUGUUUUUUUUUUUUUUUAACAUACAUAUGCCCUGUGUAUAGAGAUUGUGCACUUGAGUUCGUGUCACAAGAAGACUGUUUUGGUUCUUUUUUUAAAGUCUGUCAAAUGAAAUGUGGGAUUACAAAAAUCCAAGCUGAGAAUUCGUGAGUAACUGUACAUCUCCACUGCAUCUCUUUAUGAAGAACUUCCAGUUGCAGCUCAGUAGCUGAAUGAGGUUGUGACAAAAAUGCAGCGGCUGCAGAGCCGUGUGUUCUCCAUCCUCCUCAGUGGCCUGCUGGAUGCCUUAGGGAGGUGCAGUAAACAGGCUGGAGCCCCACCAGCUUCUGCAAAUAUAUUUAGAGGUCCACUUUCUGAUGAAACUGAAGCAUCUGAUGAAGUAGAUGGUGAACAGGAAGCUGUUGUCAUAGAUUCUGAGAGACUUGAGCCCAGAUCUGAUGAAGAUGACACG